UAACUGUCAGGCUUUCUAAGAGAUACUGUCAGGCUUGGGACCGGGAGAGGUAAGGGGUACUCCAAGGGUAGGAGUGAAAUCUUGUAAUCCUUGGGGGACCAUCCGUGGCGAAGGCGCCUUACCAGAACGGGUCCGACGGUGAGGGACGAAAGCUAGGGGAGCAAACCGGAUUAGAUACCCGGGUAGUCCUAGCUGUAAACGAUGUUCGCUAGGUGUCAGGCACGGUGCGUCCGUGUUUGGUGCCGUAGGGAAGCCGAGAAGCGAGCCACCUGGGAAGUACGGUCGCAAGGCUGAAACUUAAAGGAAUUGGCGGGGGAGCACUACAACGGGUGGAGCCUGCGGUUUAAUUGGAUUCAACGCCGGAAAACUCACCGGGUGCGACAGCAACAUGUAGGUCAGGCUGAAGGUCUUACCUGA
rnacentral:rRNA from 1 species